rnacentral:rRNA from 1 species
GUGGGGAAUAUUGGACAAUGGGCGAAAGCCUGAUCCAGCCAUGCCGCGUGUGUGAAGAAGGUCUUCGGAUUGUAAAGCACUUUAAGUUGGGAGGAAGGGCAGUAAGUUAAUACCUUGCUGUUUUGACGUUACCGACAGAAUAAGCACCGGCUAACUUCGUGCCAGCAGCCGCGGUAAUACGAAGGGUGCAAGCGUUAAUCGGAAUUACUGGGCGUAAAGCGCGCGUAGGUGGUUUUGUAAGUUGGAGGUGAAAUCCCCGGGCUCAACCUAGGAACUGCUUUCGAAACUGCGCAUCUGGAGUGAUGGAGAGGAGAGCGGAAUUCCCGGUGUAGAGGUGAAAUUCGUAGAUAUCGGGAGGAACACCAGUGGCGAAGGCGGCUCUCUGGCCAUUGACUGACGCUGAGAUGCGAAAGCGUGGGGAGCAAACAGGAUUAGAUACCCCGGUAGUCC